UCCAAGAGACUUCAGGCCAGACCUGUCUUUGCUAUGACUUGAUUUACUUCAUUUUGCAUGCACUAGGGGAAGUUUAAACCUCAGGUGGCAAAAUGCUAAAGUAUGAAACUCUGAAACAGAAUCUGCUAUGAGGAAAACAAAUGGAUAUUCUGCUGCCCUUUGCUCGUUGGGACUUUCUAGUGGAGUUCCAGCAAAGCAGUUUACCCUCUGAGGCCCUCGCUGUCAGCUCCACGCUCAUACAUCCAUGCCCUGCUGUCGAGCCUGACAGCCGUCUAUUGUUCAUUCACUGCUUCCACCUCGCCACUUAAUAUUAUUGCGAUAAGGAAACCCUCGUGUCUCGACCCACUGGCGUCUGGCUAAUCCGAUGGUAUUUGUCGCCGCAUUGUCCGUGAUCAAUAACUAAUUAUCAAAGUGGCAUUUCUUUUCAAGAGCUCCUUGUUAAAAAAUGGCUUUUGGCUGAGAGUGGAGGAAAAAGGUCGCCACUUUGACAUCAUUGCAAGUCUUUCAAAAUCCAGUGGGCCGUCCGAUUGAAUUACUGUCCCAAACUAAUUGAUAUAAAUUUGAACAGAAGAAUGCUUGUUACUACAGAAUGUCAUAAUGAUAUCCUUGGCAAGAGCAUGUCAGUGGGAAAAAAAAAGAGAAAAGACCAGCACUAGUCACAAAGCAUUGAGACAAGUUGCAGCACAAGACUAUUAACAAAAUUAACAGGAACAAAAUUGUACACCACUUCCUUCUUCCCAGCCAGUCUGAUCAGGCGUUCAAGAAAGAAAAGCAGUAACAUACCUUAUAGUUUACUUCAAAACAGCUUUAAAACAAUCUACUGGAAAGGGUAAUUGUGAUGUACAAAGGACUGAAACUUGAUGAUGAGUUGCAGAAGUCUCCUUGGCUCUACUGGGAUCAUGAGUGCACAUCCAUUGGAAUUCAGCUUUAGUUGUAAGGCAGAAUCUGGCAGACAGUUUCCUUAAGGAAGGUUUCUAUGCAGCUUUAAAAACCCAUGCCUUUGAAAUAUGGUGACCUUCUCUAGAGAAAGUUGGACUGUAUAAGCCACAUACCUUUGAACUGGGAAAAAAACCCUAAUAGUUAAGAUAUAUGGUAAGAGGAGUCAUAAAAAUGCGGUGAGAAUGCGAAGAAGAUCUUGCAGUAUUCAUGCCUGAGAUUUGAUGUAUUGUCUUGCAUGUCGUUUGGAGGUUGCCUGCCAUGGAAACCUAUAUUUUCAUUGCAAGGCAUCUGGGCUUGUGUAUG